AGUAAAAUAUCAAACAGAUAAUAACUCUAAUUCAUAGAUAGGUAAAUGGAAGACAUUGCCCACCUCCAUUUCCUCCAUAACCCUCUCCCAGCAGUCCCAACUCCCAAGUCCCAUAUAUACACAGAGAGAUUGUAACCCAAAAUUUCUCUCAUAGUUUUAUUGUUGAGAGUCAGACUGUUUUGUCCAAAAGGAAAUUUUGGCACAGGUAAGGAAUCAAAAUGAGCAUGUAUUAAGGGGAACCAAAUCUUU
rnacentral:misc_RNA from 1 species